CAGCAGCCGCGGGAAUACGAAGGGGGCUAGCGUUGCUCGGAAUGACUGGGCGUAAAGGGCGCGUAGGCGGUUUGUACAGUUGGAUGUGAAAUUCCUGGGCUUAACCUGGGGGCUGCAUUCAAUACGUGCAGGCUUGAGUGGGGAAGAGGGUCGUGGAAUUCCCAGUGUAGAGGUGAAAUUCGUAGAUAUCGGAAGGAACACCUGUGGCGAAAGCGGCUCACUGGACCAUUUCUGACGCUGAUGCACGAAAGCUAGGGGAGCAAACAGGAUUAGAUACCCCGGUAGUCCCUGUCUCUUAUAC
rnacentral:rRNA from 1 species